AUUGAACGCUAGCGGCAUGCCUUACACAUGCAAGUCGAGCGAGCGGCGGACGGGGGAGUAAGGUAUGUGGACUGUGUGAUAGGGGGGGAUAAAUAUUGGAAAAGGUAGCUAAUACCGCACACUCUCGGAUAACCCAUAUGGGAUGAGAUAGUAGGUGAGGUAAAGGCUCACCUAGGCGACGAUCCCUAGCUGGUCUGAGAGGUUGAUCAGCCACACUGGGACUGAGACACGGUCCAGACUCCUACGGAGCCAGUAGGGGGGAAUAUUGCACAAUGGGCGCAAGCCUGAUACAGCCAUGCCGCGUGUAUGAAGAAGGCCCUAGGGUUGUAAAGUACUUUCAGUCGGGAGGCGUUACCGACAGAAGAAGCACCGGCUAACUCCGUGCCAGCAGCCGCGGUAAUAC
rnacentral:rRNA from 1 species